AUUUUGGACAAUGGGCGCAAGCCUGAUCCAGCCAUGCCGCGUGAGUGAAGAAGGCCUUCGGGUUGUAAAGCUCUUUCGGACGGAAAGAAAUCGCGAAGGCUAAUACCCUGCGCGGAUUACGGUACCGUCAUAAGAAGCACCUGCUAACCACGCGCCAGUCGCCGCGGGAAUACGAAGGGUGCGAGCGUUAAUCGGAAUUACUGGGCGUAAACAGUGCGCAGGCUGUUGAUUAAGACAGGCGUUAAAUCCCCGGGCUUAACCUGGGAACUGCGCUUGUGGCUGGUCAGCUAGAGUACGGCAGAGGGGGGUGGAAUUCCACGUGUAGCAGUGAAAUGCGUAGAGAUGUGGAGGAACACCGAUGGCGAAGGCAGCCCCCUGGGCCGAUACUGACGCUCAUGCACGAAAGCGUGGGUAGCAAACAGG
rnacentral:rRNA from 1 species